GCGGAUGUGGUGGAAUUGGUAGACACGCAGGCAUGAGGUGCCUGUGCCGCAAGGCGUGAGAGUUCAAGUCUCUCCAUCCGCACCA
rnacentral:tRNA from 1 species